rnacentral:rRNA from 1 species
GAUGAACGCUGGCGGCGUGCCUAAUACAUGCAAGUCGAGCGAACAGACGAGGAGCUUGCUCCUCUGACGUUAGCGGCGGACGGGUGAGUAACACGUGGAUAACCUACCUAUAAGACUGGGAUAACUUCGGGAAACCGGAGCUAAUACCGGAUAAUAUAUUGAACCGCAUGGUUCAAUAGUGAGAGACGGUUUUGCUGUCACUUAUAGAUUGAUCCGCGCCGCAUUAGCUAGUUGGUAAGGUAACGGCUUACCAAGGCAACGAUGCGUAGCCGACCUGAGAGGGUGAUCGGCCACACUGGAACUGAGACACGGCCCAGACUCCUACGGGAGGCAGCAGUAGGGAAUCUUCCGCAAUGGGCGAAAGCCUGACGGAGCAACGCCGCGUGAGUGAUGAAGGUCUUCGGAUCGUAAAACUCUGUUAUUAGGGAAGAACAAAUGUGUAAGUAACUAUGCACGUCUUGACGGUACCUAAUCAGAAAGCCACGGCUAACUACGUG